UGCGCUUUUGAUUUCCAUGUUUUUCUUUUAUCCUUCUACUUCGAUUAUUCUUUACAACAUCAUCGGAAGAAUAUAAAUGUUCUGCUCUCCUCUUUUGACUUCCACGUUCUUCUUUGAUCCUUCUACUUUGAUCAUUCUUUUCAACAUCAGAAUCAUUAGAAGAACAAAUCCUUCUACUUCGAUCAUUCUUUACAACAUCAGAAUCAUCGGAAGAAUAUAAAUGUUCUUCUCUCCUCUUUUGACUUCCACGUUCUUCUUUGAUCCUUCUACUUUGAUCAUUCUUUUCAACAUCAGAAUCAUUAGAAGAACAAGAAUGCUCAGACCUGCUCUUCUGACUUCCACG
rnacentral:lncRNA from 1 species